ACAUAUGAUAUGGCGGGAUAAUGUCUUACUGCAUGCUGACAGAAGUUUAGACGAAGACAUGUGGCAUUCAAAAUAUUCUCUCCACUCACCCACACGAAAGAAGAAGGUGUGAGAGACAUAUCUCCGAGUACCAGCGUUCUAGUAAUACAGGAAGUGUCAUAUUGUCAUUUUGGUGGGGGCCAAGUCAGAAGCAUCAGUGUAUGUUCGAUGCUUAUGUUGCCUCAAAGGAUAUGAUGGGGUGUGGUUCAUUUAACCUGAAAGAAUUUCUAUCAGGACAGCAGAUCACAUUAUAUUUUAGUUGCCUCUAUGCCAUUGAGAAGACGAUUAGCCAUGAUGACUAUAUAUGCGCAAAAUUAGAAAAUGAAAAAGAUUGUGUGUGCUUAUCUUGUCUAUUUUGUAAUAUAUGAUUCUAAAAUAAAGGUAUACCAUUUAUAAUAGGA